rnacentral:rRNA from 1 species
GUUCAUCAUAUUAAUAUGGUACGUGAGUUGGGUUAAGA